CACCGCGGUUAUACGAGAGACUCAAGUUGUUAGUCAUCGGCGUAAAGAGUGGUUAAGAUAUAACACAAACUAAAGCCGAAAGCCCUCUACGCUGUUAUACGCCUCCGAAGGUAAGAAGCUCAACUACGAAAGUGGCUUUACCCAAAUCUGAACCCACGAAAGCUAGGAAA
rnacentral:rRNA from 1 species